rnacentral:rRNA from 1 species
AACGUAGGAGGCGAGCGUUAUCCGGAUUUACUGGGCGUAAAGGGCGCGUAGGUGGCUUCGUAAGUCGGGCGUGAAAUCUCUCGGCUCAACUGGGAGGGGUCGUUCGAUACUGCGAGGCUUGAGGGCGGGAGAGGGAAGUGGAAUUCCCGGUGUAGCGGUGGAAUGCGCAGAUAUCGGGAGGAACACCAGUGGCGAAGGCGGCUUCCUGGCCCGUUCCUGACACUCAAGUGCGAAAGCGUGGGGAGCAAACGGGAUUAGAUACCCCCGUA